rnacentral:misc_RNA from 1 species
CUAAAGGAAUUGUAUAGAUCUUAUUAUCAUUAUUUUUUUAAUAUUUUUCUUUGUGUAGUUUAAUGAUGAUAUAUGUAUUUAUUAUUGGGUCUGGUCUUGUUCUUCUCUCUUUGUUAAAAAGAGAAGUUCCUGAUCCUUGUAUUUUGUACCCUCUCAUAGUCAUAGGGUUGUAUUAACUGUAAGCCAUGAGAAAGCUCAAUCUAUUACUUCUGGUUGAGUAAACAACUUGGGAUCAUAAUGAAAUAGUG